rnacentral:tRNA from 1 species
GCCUUCGUUGUGUAGUGGUUAUAAUGCUGGGCGCGUAUUCCAGAGGUCCGUGGUUCGAGUCCCGGCGAAGACG